AUAUUUUUACCCAGAAGCCCAAGACAUUCGCGGCGGCCCCGUCUCCAAGAUGACUUGACACUUGCCUGUUAAGCUGCCCCAACUUUAAAGGCUCGUUCCCCACCCCCAUCUAAACCACCGAAAUCCGACCGAAGUCCGAGCUCUUUCCCGCUUUCCGCGGGCAUCGGGGCUACCUGGCACGGUCAGGGGCGGGCCCGCACCGGGCCAGACAGCAUCUCCCCUCCGUGCUAUAGCUACUGGAUUCGAUCACCCAAAUGUCACAUCUCGGCUUCUGCCUCCGCCCCGUCUCCCCCGGCUGGGAUCAGAAGGCUCCAAGUAUAACAUAGUACUGGCUUAUGAAAGCCAAGUCCUGAAAA